AUUGAACGCUGGCGGCAUGCCUUACACAUGCAAGUCGAACGGCAGCAUGGAGAGCUUGCUCUCUGAUGGCGAGUGGCGAACGGGUGAGUAAUGCAUCGGAACGUACCGUGUAAUGGGGGAUAACGUAGCGAAAGUUACGCUAAUACCGCAUACGACCUGAGGUUGAAAGCAGGGGAUCGCAAGACCUUGCGUUAUACGAGCGGCCGAUGUCAGAUUAGCUAGUUGGUGAGGUAAAGGCUCACCAAGGCGACGAUCUGUAGCGGGUCUGAGAGGAUGAUCCGCCACACUAGGACUGGGACACGGCCCAGACUCCUACGGGAGGCAGCAGUGGGGAAUUUUGGACAAUGGGGGCAACCCUGAUCCAGCCAUGCCGCGUGAGUGAAGAAGGCCUUCGGGUUGUAAAGCUCUUUCGGCCGGGAAGAAAUCGCACAGGCUAAUACUCUGUGUGGAUGACGGUACCGGCAUAAGAAGCACCGGCUAACUACGUGCCAGCCGCCGCCGUAA
rnacentral:rRNA from 1 species